rnacentral:rRNA from 1 species
AUUCCGGUUGAUCCUGCCGGAGGCCAUUGCUAUCGGAGUUCGAUUUAGCCAUGCUAGUCGCACGAGUUCACACUCGUGGCGGAUAGCUCAGUAACACGUGGCCAAACUGCCCUAUGGAUCGGGAUAACCUCGGGAAACUGAGGCUAAUCCCGAAUACGGCUCUCUCACUGGAGUGUAGAGAGCUCGAAACGCUCAGGCGCCAUAGGAUGUGGCUGCGGCCGAUUAGGUAGACGGUGGGGUAACGGCCCACCGUGCCGAUAAUCGGUACGGGUUGUGAGAGCAAGAGCCCGGAGAUGGAUUCUGAGACAAGAAUCCAGGCCCUACGGGGCGCAGCAGGCGCGAAAACUUUACACUGCACGACAGUGCGAUAAGGGAACUCCGAGUGCGAGGGCAUAUCGUCCUCGCUUUUCUGAACCGUAAGGUGGUUCAGGAACAAGGGCUGGGCAAGACCGGUGCCAGCCGCCGCGGUAAUACCGGCAGCCCGAGUGAUGGCCGCUAUUAUUGGGCCUAAAGCGUCCGUAGCCUGCCAGACAGGUCCAUCGGGAAAUCUGCUCGCUCAACGAGCAGGCGUCCGGUGGAAACCAGCUGGCUUGGGGCCGGAAGACCCAGGGGGUACGUCCGGGGUAGGAGUGAAAUCCCGUAAUCCUGGACGGACCACCAAUGGCGAAAGCACCCUGGGAGGACGGACCCGACGGUGAGGGACGAAAGCUAGGGUCACGAACCGGAUUAGAUACCCGGGUAGUCCUAGCUGUAAACGAUGCUCGCUAAGUGUGGCACACGCUACGAGCGUGUGCUUCGCUGCAGCGAAGGCGUAAGCGAGCCGCCUGGGAAGUACGUCCGCAAGGAUGAAACUUAAAGGAAUUGGCGGGGGAGCACUACAACCGGAGGAGCCUGCGGUUUAAUUGGACUCAACGCCGGACAUCUCACCAGCUCCGACAGUAGCAGUGACGGUCAGGUUGAUGACUUUACCUGAGCUACUGAGAGGAGGUGCAUGGCCGCCGUCAGCUCGUACCGUGAGGCAUCCUGUUAAGUCAGGCAACGAGCGAGACCCGCGUCCGUAAUUGCCAGCAACACCCUCGUGGUGGUUGGGUACAUUACGGAGACUGCCAGUGCCAAACUGGAGGAAGGAACGGGCAACGGUAGGUCAGUAUGCCCCGAAUGAGCUGGGCUACACGCGGGCGACAAUGAUCGAGACAAUGGGAUGCAACCUCGAGAGAGGGCGCUAAUCUCCUAAACUCGGUCGUAGUUCGGAUUGAGGACUGAAACUCGUCCUCAUGAAGCUGGAUUCGGUAGUAAUCGCCGUUCAGAAGACGGCGGUGAAUACGUCCCUGCUCCUUGCACACACCGCCCGUCAAAGCACCCGAGUGAGGUCCGGAUGAGGCCAGCAAGCGCAGGUCGAAUCUGGGCUUCGCAAGGGGGCUUAAGUCGUAACAAGGUAGCCGUAGGGGAAUCUGCGGCUGGAUCACCUCCU